rnacentral:rRNA from 1 species
UCGACGGGGUUAUCAUUUUUGAAGCGAUUAGCUUGCUAAGAGUGGAAAAGCUGAUAACUUAGUGGCGGACGGGUGAGUAACGCGUGGGUAACCUGCCUUACACAGGGGGAUAACACUUAGAAAUAGGUGCUAAUACCGCAUAAGCGCACAGUCCCGCAUGGGACAGAGUGAAAAACAUUAGUGGUGUAAGAUGGACCCGCGUCUGAUUAGCUUGUUGGCGGGGUAACGGCCCACCAAGGCGACGAUCAGUAGCCGGCCUGAGAGGGUGGACGGCCACAUUGGGACUGAGACACGGCCCAAACUCCUACGGGAGGCAGCAGUGGGGGAUAUUGGACAAUGGGGGGAACCCUGAUCCAGCGACGCCGCGUGAGUGAAGAAGUAUUUCGGUAUGUAAAGCUCUGUCAGCAGGGAAGAAAGAAAUGACGGUACCUGACCAAGAAGCCCCGGCUAACUACGUGCCAGCAGCCGCGGUAAUACGUAGGUGGCGAGCGUUAUCCGGAAUGAUUGGGCGUAAAGGGUGCGUAGGCGGCCUGCUAAGUCUGGAGUGAAAGGUACCGGCUCAACCGGUACAGGCUCUGGAAACUGGCGGGCUAGAGAGCAGGAGAGGGCGGUGGAACUCCAUGUGUAGCGGUAAAAUGCGUAGAUAUAUGGAAGAACACCAGUGGCGAAGGCGGCCGCCUGGCCUGUUACUGACGCUGAGGCACGAAAGCGUGGGGAGCAAAUAGGAUUAGAUACCCUAGUAGUCCACGCCGUAAACGAUGAUUACUAGGUGUCGGGGGACCAAGGUCCUCCGGUGCCGGC